rnacentral:pre_miRNA from 1 species
CCUGCAUUGUACACACUGUGUGUGUGGCUGGAAAUGCACAGCGCAUACAAUGUGGAUU